rnacentral:rRNA from 1 species
UACGAAGGUCCCGAGCGUUGUUCGGAAUCACUGGGCGUAAAGGGAGCGUAGGCGGCGUGGUAAGUCAGAUGUGAAAUCCCGGGGCUCAACCCCGGAACUGCAUCUGAUACUGCCAUGCUAGAGUGAUGGAGAGGUAACUGGAAUUCUUGGUGUAGCAGUGAAAUGCGUAGAGAUCAAGAGGAACACUCGUGGCGAAGGCGAGCUACUGGACAAUUACUGACGCUGAGGCUCGAAGGCGAGGGUAGCAAAAGGG